CUCAAUUUAUGUGGAUCCGGAGAAACUUAACAGUAGACCAUGGGGGAGAGGAAGGGGAAAAAAAAAGUUAGAGAGGGAGGGAGCCAAACCAUAAGAGACUCUUUAAAACUGAGAACAAACUAAGGGUUGAUGGGGGGUGGGAG